rnacentral:rRNA from 1 species
GAUGAACGCUAGCGGGAGGCCUAACACAUGCAAGCCGAGCGGUAUUUGUCCUUGGACAGAGAGGGCGGCGUACAGGUGCGGAACACGUGUGCAACCUGCCUUUAUCUGGGGAUAGCCUUUCGAAAGGAAGAUUAAUACCCCAUAACAUAUGAUACGGCAUCGUAUCAUAUUGAAAACUCCGGUGGAUAGAGAUGGGCACG